GUGUAGUAUAGUGUGUAGUGUGUAGUAUAUAUAGUGUGUAGUAUAGUGUGUAUAGUGUGUAGUAUAGUGUGUAUAGUGUGUAGUAUAGUGUGUAGUAUAGUGUGUAUAGUGUUGUAUAGUGUGUAUAGUGUGUAGUAUAGUGUG